UGAAGAGUUAAUGGAGCACUGUGGA
rnacentral:piRNA from 1 species